UGCGGAAGGAUCAUUAAAUAAUUUGAUAUUCUAGCCCUCGGCUAGUAAUAUUUUAUUUACUGUGAACUGUAUUAUUAUUUGGCGUUUGAGGAAUGUCUGCUGGCUAUAUGGGUAAGCCAGCAGAAUGUUAACCGAGCCAUAAUCAGACUUAGGUCUGGUACCCAGAUUAUUAUUUACCAAAAGAAUUCAGUAUAAAUAUUGUAACAUAGACGUAAGAAAUCUAUAAAAACAACUUUUAACAACGGAUCUCUUGGUUCUCGCAUCGAUGAAGAACGUAGCAAAGUGCGAUAACUAGUGUGAAUUGCAUAUUCAGUGAAUCAUCGAGUCUUUGAACGCAUCUUGCACUCAUUGGUAUUCCAAUGAGUACGCCUGUUUCAGUAUCAAAAACACCCCACAUUCAAAACUUGUGUUUGAAUGGAAUUGAGGGCAAACGGCUUUACUGCUGUUCCCUUUAAAGCUAUUAGGCCUGAAUUUGUCUGUUCUGCCUGAACUUUUUUUUAAUAUAAAGGAAAGCUCUUGCUAAUAAGACUCUCUUGGGGCCUCUCAAAUAAAUCUUUCUUAAAUUUGAUCUGAAAUCAGGCGGGAUUACCCGCUGAACUUAAGCAU
rnacentral:rRNA from 1 species